UACAGAGAGUGCAAGCGUUAAUCGGAAUCACUGGGCGUAAAGCGCACGUAGGUGGAUACUUUUAGCCGAAUGUGAAAGCCCUGGGCUUAACCUGGGAAUUGCAUCCGAUACUGGGUAUCUGGAGUAUGGUAGAGGGAAGUGGAAUUUCCGGUGUAGCGGUGAAAUGCGUAGAUAUCGGAAAGAACACCAGUGGCGAAAAGCGGCUUCCUGGACCAAUACUGACACUGAGGUGCGAAAAGCGUGGGGGAGCAAACAGG
rnacentral:rRNA from 1 species